CCUACGGGGGGCAGCAGUGGGGGAUAUUGCACAAUGGGGGAAACCCUGAUGCGGCGACGCCGCGUGGGCGAAGAAGUAUUUCGGUACGUAAACCUCUUUUGCCGGGGAGCAAGAGCGGGGACGUGUCCCGGCCCGGAGAGUACCCGGAGAAAAAGCAUCGGCUAACUCCGUGCCAGCAGCCGCGGUAAUACGGAGGAUGCGAGCGUUAUCCGGAUUUAUUGGGUUUAAAGGGUGCGUAGGCGGGCUUUUAAGUCAGCGGUAAAAAUUCGGGGCUCAACCCCGUCCGGCCGUUGAAACUGGGGGCC
rnacentral:rRNA from 1 species